GAUUUCUAUUCCUCUUUCGAUCGAUUCCUCUCCGCGUAGACAACAACAAAACCCUCUUUCUUGUUUUCUAUCUCUCUCGCGAUCGGCCCUCUCUUUCGUGAGCUUUCUAUCUCUCGCGUUUUGCUUGCGGCCAUGGAAGGAGCUUUGAAAGCUCAUGUCAACAAGAACAAAUUUUCACUUGCAAACAGGGAUGGAUAUCCGGACAAUACACAAGGACAAAAUAUUUGCAGCAACUAUUAACAGUAAUAUUGAGAGUACUCUCAAGAAAACUUUCUGUUGCUUCCUUGUACUCUCAAGGAGAAAGAUCAGGCAGAGUCAGAACAACCGAAAUCACAUUCUGCUUUCUCUUUUCCCGAAAUCGCAAGGCGUCUUCUCGCUGAUCGUCUUCUAGCAGAAGCAGAAGCAUCAGAAGAGGCUAAUCUGAAAUCCCCUUUCUGCUCCAGCAAGCACAAGGUUCCUUUAUUAUCUCUUGAAGCUUUGCAUCAUCUACACAUCUUCAUUUUAUUUAAGUUUUUGAAGAGGGCUUGUUGUUUUGAUCAAUAUCAAAAUGGCAUGGAAGGGCAAUGUAAGAAACUUCUGAAUUAUCCAGGAAUUCAAUGAUGUAAACAGCAAUUUCAGAAUCUUUCUUCUUUCUACAAGGGCUGGUGGAUUGGGAAUAAACCUUACUGCAGCUGACACUUGCAUUAUUUAUGACAGUGACUGGAAUCCUCAAAUGGAUUUGCAGGCCAUGGAUAGAUGUCAUAGAAUUGGUCAAACAAAGCUUGUUCAUGUUUACAGGCUUGCAACUGCACAAUCAGUAGAGGGUUGAAUGUUGAAAAUAGCUUUCAGCAAGUUGAAGCUUGAGCACGUGGUGAUAGAGAAAGUACAAUUUCAUCAAGAACGCACAACGACUUCCAUUAUGGAUGAAUUGGAGUGACAAAGCCUACUUUGUUGAUCUAUUUGUGAGAGCAUCAAAUGCACCAGCCAUCAAGAUGUAUGAAAAGGCAAUGAUUCUGUACUUUUUAUUUCCAAUUAAACCCUCUCUUACUUCCCUUAUGGGUUUAUGCACAAGAUUGUGUUAAAAUGGUUUCUUUGCUGGACUUUAGAAUGAUCAAGGGGGUCUCUUGAGAUGUUAUUUUUUAUCUAUGCAUUCCCUUGUUUUUUUGAACUGUUAGGAGGAUUCGUGAUCUACAUGUUAA